ensembl:lncRNA
ACACACUGUCCUUACGGCCUAAGGUGCAGGAGACCAUGACCAUUCUGCUCCUAGGAGGAGGGCACAUCUGGGCAGGGCUGUGAAGUGGAGCUGGUGCUGGUGUCUCCAGCUGGCUGGCUGGGGCUUAUUUUGGUCACAUACGGGUUUGAGUCCAGGCACUGGACACAGUGGAGGUGUCUGGGGUAGAGGGGGAGGACAGGGUAGCUCUAGGAUAGAUCUGAGGUAGGAUGGAUAGUUUGGGUGGUAGAGUUUGGGCUCUUCAGUGGACAAGGAGCUGAGAGGAUUAUGUGGGACCAGAGGAGUGGGGAGCUGAGGGCUCUGGAGUCUGCAGUCUCUGAGGUGGAGGAUGAGGGAGGAACUGCGUUGGAGAAAUGUGGGGAAUUAAAUGCUGUGGGCAGGAAUGGCUGGUAUGGAGAUCACGGGGACAGUCCCAUGUCUCAGGAUGUACCCAGGAUCUAGCAUAAGGACAAGGACUGCUUUCCCUGUGCUGUGUGCCUCUAUUUUGCUUCUGGAAAUUCAGUAGCUCUGGGCACUCUGGCGUGGGGCACCAGGUCUUACACCUGAGCAGGUACCCACUUAGCAGCUGUGGGAGAGGCACAGAGAGGAGAUUCAACCGUAAGGUUCGGUGCAUUCAGCUACGAACUCUUCAGGUUACCACGUGGCCUAGCCAAGAAUGAACAAGUGUUUUCUAACUCCCAGUAUACCCCUGUGGCAAUUUAUGUCUCCCAUGAAUUUUGUUCAUUGAAAAAAAUGGCCAUGAAAGUGUUUCUUAAGAAUAGUAUUUCUGGCAUAUUUUAAUGGAGGAUGAGUAGAUGUAUUUAUUUCAUUUCAGCUGUGCAGUAGAAAUCUGCUCCAAGUUUGGUGCGGAAUUGUUGUCUGCCACCAUGACGUGAGAGAGAUGGGCUGCACUCUUCAACAUGAGCUUCUCAUUGCAGAGUAAAAGACAAGUCUACGCCAAGAGUGCCCUCUGCACCGCCUAUCUCAGCUUUCCACACCUUGUAGCUCUGCUAUCAAAAGAGAGUUUCCUGGAAAAGGCUAGGAGUGAAAUGAGAAAUUCCCUCCCUGAAGCACAUACGGACAUCCUGCUGCUGCUCUGCAACCUGCCAAGGAAAAGAAGAGAAAACUACAGGCCAGGCAUUGAGAAAUUGCUGUCAGAUGCCUAUUGCUCCAUAAUUAUUUGCUGCAAGAGAGACUAACUAGUCACUGUCAAGUCAGGGAAGAUGUUCCUUGAAGGCUUGAUUUAAUAGAAAUGCAAUUUGUCUCAUGGGUCAGCAAAAUAAGUUGAAGAUGACCUACAAUUUCAUGUCCAGAGGGAGCUUUGAAACUUGUCCAGGAUGCCCAGCUUCACAUUUAAUGCAGAAUAUGAACAAGAGGUAAAUGCCAUCAGCUAUACACACCACCAGUCCUUUAACAUACCAAGUGUUAUGAAAGCCCAUGUUCCUGCUGAGCAGGGUCUCUCAUACUGAUGCACACCAGCCAUGCACAAACCCCCGUGACCGUGCACUGAAAUGUAUGAUCAUGAAAGCUGUCAAUAUCCUAAGACAAUUUUUUUGGCACUAUUUAGCCAAACAUAAUGUGUAAAACC